ensembl:lncRNA
UGGCGUCUUUUUCCGGGUCCAAUUCGGCCGUUGUGGGCCUCUGGAGGUGUUUGGGUCCGAGUUCCGGGCUCUGGGGGUGUCUGGUAAAGAGAUCCGGGUUCUGGCGUCUUUUUCCGGACUUAAUUCGGCCGUUGUGGGCCUCUGGAGGUGUUUGGGUCCGAGUUCCGGGCUCUGGGGGUGUCUGGUAGAGAGAUCCGGGUUCUGGCGUCUUUUUCCGGACUUAAUUCGGCCGUUGUGGGCCUCUGGAGGUGUUUGGGUCCGAGUUCCGGGCUCUGGGGGUGUCUGGUAGAGAGAUCCGGGUUCUGGCGUCUUUUUCCGGACUAAAUUCGGCCGUUGUGGGCCUCUGGAGGUGUUUGGGUCCGAGUUCCGGGCUCUGGGGGUGUCUGGUAGAGAGAUCCGGGUUCUGGCGUCUUUUUCCGGGUCCAAUUCGGCCUUUGUGGGCCUCUGGAGGUGUUUGGGUCCGAGUUCCGGGCUCUGGGGGUGUCUGGUAAAGAGAUCCGGGUUCUGGCGUCUUUUUCCGGGUCCAAUUCGGCCGUUGUGGGCCUCUGGAGGUGUUUGGGUCCGAGUUCCGGGCUCUGGGGGUGUCUGGUAAAGAGAUCCGGGUUCUGGCGUCUUUUUCCGGACUUAAUUCGGCCGUUGUGGGCCUCUGGAGGUGUUUGGGUCCGAGUUCCGGGCUCUGGGGGUGUCUGGUAAAGAGAUCCGGGUUCUGGCGUCUUUUUCCGGGUCCAAUUCGGCCGUUGUGGGCCUCUGGAGGUGUUUGGGUCCGAGUUCGGGGCUCUGGGGGGUGUU